rnacentral:rRNA from 1 species
GGUUAAGCGACUAAGCGUACACGGUGGAUGCCCUGGCAGUCAGAGGCGAUGAAGGACGUGCUAAUCUGCGAUAAGCGUCGGUAAGGUGAUAUGAACCGUUAUAACCGGCGAUUUCCGAAUGGGGAAACCCAGUGUGUUUCGACACACUAUCAUUAACUGAAUCCAUAGGUUAAUGAGGCGAACCGGGGGAACUGAAACAUCUAAGUACCCCGAGGAAAAGAAAUCAACCGAGAUUCCCCCAGUAGCGGCGAGCGAACGGGGAGCAGCCCAGAGUCUGAAUCAGUGUGUGUGUUAGUGGAAGCGUCUGGAAAGGCGCGCGAUACAGGGUGACAGCCCCGUACACAAAAAUGCACAUACUGUGAGCUCGAUGAGUAGGGCGGGACACGUGGUAUCCUGUCUGAAUAUGGGGGGACCAUCCUCCAAGGCUAAAUACUCCUGACUGACCGAUAGUGAACCAGUACCGUGAGGGAAAGGCGAAAAGAACCCCGGCGAGGGGAGUGAAAAAGAACCUGAAACCGUGUACGUACAAGCAGUGGGAGCCUCUUUAUGGGGUGACUGCGUACCUUUUGUAUAAUGGGUCAGCGACUUAUAUUCUGUAGCAAGGUUAACCGAAUAGGGGAGCCGAAGGGAAACCGAGUCUUAACUGGGCGUUAAGUUGCAGGGUAUAGACCCGAAACCCGGUGAUCUAGCCAUGGGCAGGUUGAAGGUUGGGUAACACUAACUGGAGGACCGAACCGACUAAUGUUGAAAAAUUAGCGGAUGACUUGUGGCUGGGGGUGAAAGGCCAAUCAAACCGGGAGAUAGCUGGUUCUCCCCGAAAGCUAUUUAGGUAGCGCCUCGUGAAUUCAUCUCCGGGGGUAGAGCACUGUUUCGGCAAGGGGGUCAUCCCGACUUACCAACCCGAUGCAAACUGCGAAUACCGGAGAAUGUUAUCACGGGAGACACACGGCGGGUGCUAACGUCCGUCGUGAAGAGGGAAACAACCCAGACCGCCAGCUAAGGUCCCAAAGUCAUGGUUAAGUGGGAAACGAUGUGGGAAGGCCCAGACAGCCAGGAUGUUGGCUUAGAAGCAGCCAUCAUUUAAAGAAAGCGUAAUAGCUCACUGGUCGAGUCGGCCUGCGCGGAAGAUGUAACGGGGCUAAACCAUGCACCGAAGCUGCGGCAGCGACGCUUAUGCGUUGUUGGGUAGGGGAGCGUUCUGUAAGCCUGUGAAGGUGUGCUGUGAGGCAUGCUGGAGGUAUCAGAAGUGCGAAUGCUGACAUAAGUAACGAUAAAGCGGGUGAAAAGCCCGCUCGCCGGAAGACCAAGGGUUCCUGUCCAACGUUAAUCGGGGCAGGGUGAGUCGACCCCUAAGGCGAGGCCGAAAGGCGUAGUCGAUGGGAAACAGGUUAAUAUUCCUGUACUUGGUGUUACUGCGAAGGGGGGACGGAGAAGGCUAUGUUGGCCGGGCGACGGUUGUCCCGGUUUAAGCGUGUAGGCUGGUUUUCCAGGCAAAUCCGGAAAAUCAAGGCUGAGGCGUGAUGACGAGGCACUACGGUGCUGAAGCAACAAAUGCCCUGCUUCCAGGAAAAGCCUCUAAGCAUCAGGUAACAUCAAAUCGUACCCCAAACCGACACAGGUGGUCAGGUAGAGAAUACCAAGGCGCUUGAGAGAACUCGGGUGAAGGAACUAGGCAAAAUGGUGCCGUAACUUCGGGAGAAGGCACGCUGAUAUGUAGGUGAAGUCCCUCGCGGAUGGAGCUGAAAUCAGUCGAAGAUACCAGCUGGCUGCAACUGUUUAUUAAAAACACAGCACUGUGCAAACACGAAAGUGGACGUAUACGGUGUGACGCCUGCCCGGUGCCGGAAGGUUAAUUGAUGGGGUCAGCGCAAGCGAAGCUCUUGAUCGAAGCCCCGGUAAACGGCGGCCGUAACUAUAACGGUCCUAAGGUAGCGAAAUUCCUUGUCGGGUAAGUUCCGACCUGCACGAAUGGCGUAAUGAUGGCCAGGCUGUCUCCACCCGAGACUCAGUGAAAUUGAACUCGCUGUGAAGAUGCAGUGUACCCGCGGCAAGACGGAAAGACCCCGUGAACCUUUACUAUAGCUUGACACUGAACAUUGAGCCUUGAUGUGUAGGAUAGGUGGGAGGCUUAGAAGUGUGGACGCCAGUCUGCAUGGAGCCGACCUUGAAAUACCACCCUUUAAUGUUUGAUGUUCUAACGUUGACCCGUAAUCCGGGUUGCGGACAGUGUCUGGUGGGUAGUUUGACUGGGGCGGUCUCCUCCUAAAGAGUAACGGAGGAGCACGAAGGUUGGCUAAUCCUGGUCGGACAUCAGGAGGUUAGUGCAAUGGCAUAAGCCAGCUUGACUGCGAGCGUGACGGCGCGAGCAGGUGCGAAAGCAGGUCAUAGUGAUCCGGUGGUUCUGAAUGGAAGGGCCAUCGCUCAACGGAUAAAAGGUACUCCGGGGAUAACAGGCUGAUACCGCCCAAGAGUUCAUAUCGACGGCGGUGUUUGGCACCUCGAUGUCGGCUCAUCACAUCCUGGGGCUGAAGUAGGUCCCAAGGGUAUGGCUGUUCGCCAUUUAAAGUGGUACGCGAGCUGGGUUUAGAACGUCGUGAGACAGUUCGGUCCCUAUCUGCCGUGGGCGCUGGAGAACUGAGGGGGGCUGCUCCUAGUACGAGAGGACCGGAGUGGACGCAUCACUGGUGUUCGGGUUGUCAUGCCAAUGGCACUGCCCGGUAGCUAAAUGCGGAAGAGAUAAGUGCUGAAAGCAUCUAAGCACGAAACUUGCCCCGAGAUGAGUUCUCCCUGACCCUUUAAGGGUCCUGAAGGAACGUUGAAGACGACGACGUUGAUAGGCCGGGUGUGUAAGCGCAGCGAUGCGUUGAGCUAACCGGUACUAAUGAACCGUGAGGCUUAACCUU